GACGAACGCUGGCGGCGUGCUUAUCACAUGCAAGUCGAACGGAAAGGCCCUGCUUGCAGGGUACUCGAGUGGCGAACGGGUGAGUAACACGUGGGUGAUCUGCCCUGCACUUCGGGAUAAGCCUGGGAAACUGGGUCUAAUACCGGAUAUGACCUUCCAUGUAGUGUGGGGGGUGGAAAGAUUUAUCGGUGUGGGAUGAGCCCGCGGCCUAUCAGCUUGUUGGUGGGGUAAUGGCCUACCAAGGCGUCGACGGGUAGCCGGCCUGAGAGGGUGGACGGCCACAUUGGGACUGAGAUACGGCCCAGACUCCUACGGGAGGCAGCAGUGGGGAAUAUUGCACAAUGGGCGGAAGCCUUAUGCAGCGACGCCGCGUGGGGGAUGACGGCCUUCGGGUUGUAAACCUCUUUCGACAGGGACGAAGCUUCGGUGACGGUACCUGUAUAAGAAGCACCGGCUAACUACGUG
rnacentral:rRNA from 1 species